AUACACUACAACGCAACAGUAACAGAACAUCCUGGUAUGGGCAAGAAAACCGACACAUCCUGGAGAACAGACCAGCGAUAAAGCCACAUAUUUGCAGCUAAGUUAUCUUUGAUGGAGGUGCCAAGGCCACAUUUAUUAUUUCCUUUCAAUAAAUGAUCUUGGGAAAACUGGAUAUCCACCUGCAGAUGAAUGAAUAAAUGUAAGAUCCCAAAUUCUGAAACUCCUGAAGCAAACAGAGGGGAAAUACUUCCUGGCCUUGUUUUGGACAAUGAUUUUUGGCUAUGACCUCAAAGGAAAAGGCAACCAGAUCCCAGACAGACAAAUGCGAGUAUACCAAUUGACUUGGUCUGCCAAUAGUAAGCUAUCAACAGUGCAAAGAGACAAUAUUCAGAAUUCAAAACAUUAUUUGUAAACUAUAUAUUUAAUAAGGGGUUAAUGUCUAGAACUGAGAAGAAACUCAAGCAUCUCAAUAUCAAGAAAACAAAUAACUCUAUUAGCAAUUGGUAAAAGAUCUGAAUAGAUGCUUCUCUAAAGAAGAAACACGAAUGACCAAAAGUUACAUAUUAAAAAAGCUCAAUAUCAUUAAUUGUCAGGGGAAUGCAAAUCAAAACCACAAUAAGAUACCACUUGAACUAUGCUUAUUUCAAUUAAUUUUGAAUAUUCUAUCUUCUUUGCCAUCUGACGUAAUUUUUAAUUGUGUCAUACUUCAAUGCCUGCACACUCAUGUGAUGAUAAGAUCAAGGUUGUCAAUAUGUCACUCUCUUAAACAUUUAGACUUUUCUGCUCUGUUCAUAGUUGCUUAUGUGCUUUGUGAUGGUGUGUAGCUCAAUGCUUGUAUGCAGUAUGCAGUAAUAAAAUCAGGACAAGUGACAUUUCUAUCUCCUUAAAAAUGCUACAAUCAGCAUGUCAGUGUCUACAGAGGAUCUUCUGGAAUCCUGACUGGAUUACCCCAUCACUUGGGGAGAAGACAUCAUCUUCCCGUCUUUCAGCAUGGUGUCUUCUCACUUAUGUAGACAUUCCUUGAUUGAUUUCACCAAUGAUCUGUGGUUCUCAGUAUGCAAUCCUGCACUUGUGUUGUUAGAUCUAUCCCUCACUAGUAAAUUUUUAACUAAUAUUGUGAAUGAUACUUAAAGAAAUUGCUAAAUUCCAAUUAUUCACUGCUAGUAUACAGAAGUCCAAUUUCUUUUUGUGUUUUUAUUUUUGUAUUCUGACCUUGAUAAAUUUAGUUAUUAAUUUCAAGGUCUUUUCUGUAGAUUUCUUGAUAUUUUCCACCUAGAUGAUUAUUUGACCUGGGAAUAAAAUGUUUUAUUCCUUCCUUUUCAAUCUAUAAUCUUUCUUCUUUUUUUUUCCUGCCUAUGCACUAAGACUUCCAUUAAAAUGUUGAGAAGAGCAAGGAGGGUACUCUUCCUGUGUUCCUUAGUUUGUGGGAGAAGCACU
rnacentral:lncRNA from 1 species